CAAGGAAUUUUCCCCAAUGGGCGCAAGCCUGAGGGAGCAACGCCGCGUGGAGGACGACGGCCUUCGGGUUGUAAACUCCUUUUGGGGGGGAAGAUCGUGACGGUACCCCCCGAAUCAGCCCCGGCUAACUCUGUGCCAGCAGCCGCGGUAAUACAGAGGGGGCAAGCGUUGUCCGGACUGACUGGGCGUAAAGCGCGCGCAGGCGGUUCGAGGCGUCGGUGCUGAAAGUCCACCGCUUAACGGUGGGAAGCGCGCCGAUACGCUCGAACUGGAGGGCGGGCGAGGGUGGUGGAAUUGCCGGUGUAGUGGUGAAAUGCGUAGAGAUCGGCAGGAACACCAGUGGCGAAGGCGGCCACCUAGCCCGCACCUGACGCUGAGGCGCGACAGCGUGGGGAGCGAACUGG
rnacentral:rRNA from 1 species